ACCCAACUCGGUCCGGUAAGUCGAAAUAAGUAAUCGGAUGGGCGAUCGCCGACUCUUCUUCCUCGCGAUCGCACCGGCAAGCCCGCCGUGCGUGAGCCGAUCCCUUCGCCGCUUAGGAGGAUUACAGCUUGCUGCCAAUGGCUACAAUACAGCAUUUCUUUGGGAUCUCCUUAACAAAUUUUCUUAAUGUUGAUCAUUGCCCCUUACCAAACAACCAGGACCGAAGGAUCUCACAGAUAUUGCCAGUAAUGCUGGUAGACUGGCAGGAUGAGCAAUUGCAUAUGUUCAAUUAGUCUGUAGGCAGUUGUUUUUAACAGAUGUGCCACCAUCUCAGGCUAGCAAGGUGCACAAAGAACUACAAUAUAGCAUUUCUUUAUUAGAAGCAAGUUUUUUAUGGAAGACAAAGCAUAUCAAUAGUGAACCUAGGUCUAUUUCCUCGGAGGAUGGAUGGACCAGAACAAAUGCAGAGCACUGGAUCUAAGCAGAGCAAAUUCAGUUUCUUAUGGUUUCCACAACCAGUCAAUGAGAUAUUCCAGGCUAGCUGAAGCUUCACUGUUCUUCCUGUGUCUGCUGAAACAGCAGGAUCACUUCCAAAGCAUGGCGGUAAACAUCCCUAGUCGCUGGUAUAAUUCCAUGUUUUUAUUUUGGUAUUGAUAUCAAUAUAUUUUAGACCCAUGCUGUGAAGUUUUUGUAAGUGAAUCGUACUAGGUAAAAUUAGAUUAUUUUAUCGUUACUGGGAACUCAAAAUAUUUAGAGAAGUGAAUGAAGAUUGAGCAAUGGGAGCGGGUGCACUGAAAA